rnacentral:rRNA from 1 species
UACGUAGGUGGCAAGCGUUGUCCGGAAUUAUUGGGCGUAAAGCGCGCGCAGGCGGUUCCUUAAGUCUGAUGUGAAAGCCCACGGCUCAACCGUGGAGGGUCAUUGGAAAACUGGGGGGACUUGAGUGCAGAAGAGGAGAGCGGAAUUCCACGUGUAGCGGUGAAAUGCGUAGAGAUGUGGAGGAACACCAGUGGCGAAGGCGGCUCUCUGGUCUGUAACUGACGCUGAGGCGCGAAAGCGUGGGGAGCAAACAGGAUUAGAUACCCCUACGUC